rnacentral:rRNA from 1 species
AACGCGAAGAACCUUACCUGGGUUAAAUCCCCCGGAACCUUCAAGAGAUUGAGGGGUGCCCUCUGGGAGCCGGGGAGAAGGUGCUGCAUGGCUGUCGUCAGCUCGUGUCGUGAGAUGUUGGGUUAAGUCCCGCAACGAGCGCAACCCUUGUCGUUAGUUGCUAACAGGUGAAGCUGAGCACUCUAACGAGACUGCCGACGUGAAGUCGGAGGAAGGUGGGGAUGACGUCAAGUCCUCAUGGCCCUUAUGCCCAGGGCUACACACGUGCUACAAUGGCCGGCACAAAGGGUAGCGAAGCGGUGACGUGGAGCCAAUCCCAAAAAACCGGUCCCAGUUCGGAUUGCAGUCUGCAACUCGACUGCAUGAAGUCGGAAUCGCUAGUAAUCGCGGAUCAGCACGCCGCGGUGAAUACGUUCCCGGGCCUUGUACACACCGCUCGUC